UGGUCAAGCUAUUAAGGGCACACGGGGGAUGUCUUGGCAUCAGAAGGCGAUGAAGGGCGUGGAAGACUGCGAAAAGCUUGGGGAAGUUGUCAAACGAACGUUGAUCCCGAGAUUCCUGAAUUAACAUAUACUGAAUACAUAGGUAUAUGUGGCAAACCCAGAGAACUGAAACAUCUAAGUACCUGGAGGAAGAGAAAGAAAACUCGAUACCGUCAGUAGCGGCGAGCGAAAUCGGUAUAGCCCAAACCGCGGGGAUUUUCCCUGCGGGGUUGUAGGGUCUUUCACAUGGGAGUUACAAAGUAGUCUGCUAGUCGAACGGCAUGGAAAGGCCGACCAUAGAAGGUGACAGUCCUUUAGACGAAAGCGGAGCUACCUCCCGAAAGAUACCUGAGUAGGUCCAGUCACGUGGAACCUGGACUGAAUCCACGGGGUCCAUCCCGUAAGGCUAAAUACUCUCUGAUGACCGAUAGUGAACUCAGUAGCGCGAGUGAAAGAUGAGAAGAACCCCUGUUAGGGGAGGAAUGUGAACCUGAAACCGUGUGCCUACAAGCGGUCGGAGCCCUAUGUUUAACAUGGGUGACGGCGUGCCUUUUGCAUAAUGAUCCGGCGAGUUACCGUCUGCGGCAGGUUAAGGCCUUACGGGCUGAAGCCAGAGGGAAACCGAGUCUUAAUAGGGCGAAUACGUCGUAGGUGGUAGACGCGAAACCAGGUGAUCUACCCAUGAGCAGGUUGAAGCGCGAGUUAUAUUGCGUGGAGGACCGAACCCACUUAGGUUGAAAACUGAGGGGAUGACUUGUGGGGAGGAGUGAAAGUCUAAUCAAACCUGGAGAUAUCUCGUUCUCUUCGAAAUAGCUUUAGGGCUAGCCUUGAGCCACUACAUACCGGGGGUAGAGAGACUGAAUCGGUUUGGGGCCCUUCCCGGGGUACCCUGCUGAACCAAACUCCGAAUACCGGUAUGACUAUCUCAGGAGUCAGUCCGCGAGGGAUAAGCUUCGCGGUCGAGAGGGAAACAACCCAGACCGUCUGUUAAGGUCCCGAAGAAAUGCUCAGUCACUAAGGAAGUUAAAUUGCCGAGACAACCAGGAUGUUGGCUUAGAAGCAGCCACCAUUUAAAAAGUGCGUAACAGCUUACUGGUCGAGCAAUUUUGCGCCGAUAAUGAACGGGAGUAAGCAUUUCACCGAAACAGCGGAUUUGAUCAUUCUACGGAAUGAUUAAGUGGUAGAAGAGCGCUGAUAGUCAGAUACAAGCCAUACCGUAAGGAGUGGUGUCGGGGCUAUCAGGUGAUUAUGCCGGAAUGAGUAACGAUAAAACAGGUGAGAAUCCUGUUCGCCGAAAGCCUAAGGUUUCCUGGGGAAGGCAAUUCCGCCCAGGGUUAGCCGGUACCUUAGUCGAGGCCGAAAGGCGUAGACGAUGGAUAGCAGGUUAAUAUUCCUGCGCUGCGUUCGUGGACCGAUGGAGGGACGGCGUUUCAAAGAUGAUCGGACUGGUGGAAUAGUCCGUGAUUGGUUGCAAGUUGGAGGGAUAGGAAAAUCCACCCUCGUAAUACAAGCAAUUGAUCUGAGCGAUUCUUCGCGUAAUCAUUGGCGGAACGUCCAAGAAAAGCUUCUAAGGGUUGAAGCGACGCAACCGUACUAAAACUGACACAGGUAGGCAGGUCGAGUAGACCAAGGCGCUCGGGAUAACGGUGGUUAAGGAACUCUGCAAAAUGACCCCGUAAGUUCGCGAUAAGGGGUGCCUCCGACGGUUCACGCUGUUGGAGGCCACAGAAAAUCGGCUCUGGCGACUGUUUAUCAAAAACACAGGACCCUGCUAACACGCAAGUGGAUGUAUAGGGUCUGACGCCUGCCCGGUGCCGGUAGGUUAAGGAAGAGGGUGCAAGCUCACGACCGAAGCCCCGGUAAACGGCGGCCGUAACUAUGACGGUCCUAAGGUAGCGAAGUUCCUUGUCGGGUAAGUUCCGACCUGCAUGAAAGGCGUAACGACUGGAGCACUGUCUCAACCACCGACCCGGUGAAAUUGUAGUUGUGGUGAAGAUGCCACAUACCCGCAGUUAGACGGAAAGACCCCGUGAACCUUUACUGUAGGCUGAUAUUGGUCUGAGAUAUGUUCUGUGUAGGAUAGGUGGGAGACUUUGAUCUUGUAGCGCAAGCUAUAAGUUAGUCGUCCUUGAAAUACCACCCUGGAUAUGUUUUAGCUCUAACCCUGAAUUUCCAUGAAUCUGGACAGGGAACAGUGUCAGUUGGGCAGUUUGACUGGGGCGGUCUCCUCCCAAAGAGUAACGGAGGAGUGCAAAGGUACCCUCAGCCUGGUCGGCCAUCAGGCAAAGAGCGCAAAAGUACAAGGGUGCUUGACUGUGAGACUUAUCAGUCGAACAGGUACGAAAGUAGGUUUUAGUGAUCCGGUGGUUCCGUAUGGAAGGGCCAUCGCUCAUCAGAUAAAAGGUACUCCGGGGAUAACAGGCUUAUCGCAUCCGAGCGUCCAUAGCGGCGAUGCGGUUUGGCACCUCGAUGUCGGCUCAUCACAUCCUGGGGGUGAAGAAGCUCCCAAGGGUUCGGCUGUUCGCCGAUUAAAGUGGUACGUGAGCUGGGUUCAGACCGUCGUGAGACAGGUCGGUCCCUAUCUGCUGUGGGCGCACGAAAUUUGAGGAGGUUCUUCUUUAGUACGAGAGGAUUUGGAAGGACGUUCCUCUGGUGUUCCAGUUGUCACGCCCGUGGCACGGCUGGAUAGCUAUGAACGGAAAGGAUAAACGCUGAAAGCAUCUAAGCGUGAAGCCCGCUCCAAGAUCAGAUUUCGUAAGCACGUAAGUGCGAGAGUCCCCUGGAAGACUACCAGGUUGAUAGGCCAGAUGUGUAAGUACAGUAAUGUAUUCAGCUAACUGGUACUAACGGACGAAAGCUUGACCAC
rnacentral:rRNA from 1 species